GGCUUAUUCACUAUGGUAAACGGAAAAUAGUUUUGCCAAAAUAGCCGAUUAGAAAACCCUCUUUCUGUUCUAAUCACAGCUUGGCUAUUUUAGUCCCAGUGAUACCAUUCAAAUUUUAAUUGGCCACCGUUCACUGUUUAGUGAAUAAUUGCAAGGCACAUAAUGCGCAUGUACCGAUGUUUGAUUGAUGGGUUUGUUUAUACUUUUCUCCUUGCACUUAUGACCAACAAGUCCU